rnacentral:rRNA from 1 species
AUGUCAUCGGAUAGUGACAAUGAUAGUGAUAGUUAUGAAGAAAGGAAGAAGAGGGUAUGCCACCAUAUCCAAUCAAUGUACAACAUCUAUGACGGUGCAUCAACACUUGCAGGGAAGUACUGUGACAACUAUUUGAUCAAGGCAGACCCAAGGAAUUCUAUUCUCAGUGGGUUCGGAUGGCUGCAGGAGACAGUCUCAACACCUGGAGAAACAUAUACCAUGUUGAGGAUGAACGCACGCCUCUUCUUUCAAUUGCAUGACUUGUUGGUCAAAAAGUAUGGCUUCAAAUCAACCUGUUUCGUAAGCAGUUAUGAAGCGCUUGCAAUGUUCUUGUGGACAUUAGGGGGUUGCGAGUCUAAUAGGAGAACACAAAAUCGUUUCAAGCACUCAGGAGAUACAGUCCACCGGAAGUUUCAUGAGGUUUUACUCUGUGUGGUUAAGAUGGCAGCAGAUUACCUGAAACCUAAGGACCCAAACUUUAGUAGUGUGCACCCAAGGAUUCAAAAGGAUAGAAGGGCUUAUCCACAUCUUAAGGACUGCAUCGGCGCACUAGAUGGUACUCACGUCAGAGCUACCAUUCCUGCUGGCGACCAAGUUAGAUACAUUGGAAGGUCAGGAUCAACAACACAGAAUGUUCUGGCAAUAUGUGAUUUUGACAUGCAUUUCAUGUACACUUCAGUUGGUCAACCCGACUCUAUGCAUUAUACCAGUGUCUUGUAUCAUGCAAUUGCAGCUGACAAAGAUACCUUCCCUCAUCCUCCAAAGGGUAAGUACUAUCUUGUGGACGCGGGCUAUCCUAAUAGACCUGGAUAUCUCGCACCUUACAAGGGAGAAAGGUACCACGUGCCUGAUUUUCAACGAGGUGUGGCACCAAGAACACCUAAGGAGAAAUUUAACAAGAUACACUCAUCCAAGCGUAAUGUGAUCGAGAGAGCGUUCGGUGUGUGGAAAAUGAAGUGGCAGAUUCUACUAAAGAUGCCCAAUUAUUCAGUUGAAACUCAAAAGAUGAUAGUGGCUGCCACUAUGACCCUUCACAACUACGUUCGAUAUCAUGAUAAGGGGGAUCUUCACUUUCUUCGAGUCGACAGAGAUCCCAACUAUGUCCCAACUAUCCCUUCAAGGUAUCAACGGUAUGCCAUCCCUCCGAAUGCAUCAGAUGCGUCACCCUUGGAGGCUAGUGAUAAAGACAUGGACAGGUUCCGUAAUAGACUAGCAACUGAUAUUGCUCUUGGUUGGUGA